rnacentral:rRNA from 1 species
CGGACGGGUGAGUAAUGUCUGGGAAACUGCCCGAUGGAGGGGGAUAACUACUGGAAACGGUAGCUAAUACCGCAUAACGUCGCAAGACCAAAGAGGGGGACCUUGGGCCUCUUGCCAUCGGAUGUGCCCAGAUGGGAUUAGCUAGUAGGUGGGGUAAUGGCUCACCUAGGCGACGAUCCCUAGCUGGUCUGAGAGGAUGACCAGCCACACUGGAACUGAGACACGGCCCAG